GAAUCUCUCCGAGCUAAUGGUACACGUGUGUGCGGAGUGCUCAGUCACUUACACGUUAAUUUCACGAGCAGGCUGUUCCAUUGAUCGGAUCAGCUGGAACCCUCGUCGUUGUAACAGACGGAGUGCCAUGACGACAAAUGAUUAUUAUAAUUUUUUAAUG